UACGUAGGGCGCAAGCGUUGUCCGGAAUUAUUGGGCGUAAAGAGCUCGUAGGCGGCCUGUCGCGUCCGCUGUGAAAUCCCGGGGCUUAACCCCGGGCGUGCAGUGGAUACGGGCAGGCUCGAGUUCGGUAGGGGAGACUGGAAUUCCUGGUGUAGCGGUGAAAUGCGCAGAUAUCAGGAGGAACACCGGUGGCGAAGGCGGGUCUCUGGGCCGAUACUGACGCUGAGGAGCGAAAGCGUGGGGAGCGAACAGG
rnacentral:rRNA from 1 species